rnacentral:snRNA from 1 species
AGCUUUGCGCAGUGGCAGUAUCGUAGCCAAUGAGGUUUAUCCGAGGCGUGAUUAUUGCUAAUUGAAAAUAGUGGACCAAACAA